CAAUAGCGUAUAUUAAAGUUGUUGCGGUUAAAAAGCUCGUAGUUGGAUUUCUGCUGAGAACGACCGGUCCGCCCUCUGGGUGUGUAUCUGGCUCUUUCUUGGCAUCUUCUUGGUGAACGUUGCUGCACUUGACUGUGUGGAGCGCUACCCAGGACUUUUACUUUGAGGAAAUUAGAGUGUUUCAAGCAGGCAUACGCCUUGAAUACAUUAGCAUGGAAUAAUAAGAUAGGACCUCGGUUCUAUUUUGUUGGUUUCUAGAGCUGAGGUAAUGAUUAAUAGGGAUAGUUGGGGGCAUUCGUAUUUAACUGGCAGAGGUGAAAUUCUUGGAUUUGUUAAAGACGGACUACUGCGAAAGCAUUUGCCAAGGAUGUUUNCAUUG
rnacentral:rRNA from 1 species